GGGGAAUAUUGGACAAUGGGGGAAACCCUGAUCCAGCGACGCCGCGUGAGUGAAGAAGUAUUUCGGUAUGUAAAGCUCUAUCAGCAGGGAAGAAAAUGACGGUACCUGACUAAGAAGCACCGGCUAACUACGUGCCAGCAGCCGCGGUCAUACGUAGGGUGCAAGCAUUAUCCGGGGUGACUGGGCGUAAAGAGUUGCGUAGGCGGUUAGUAAAGCGAAUAGUGAAACCUGGUGGCUCAACCAUACAGACUAUUAUUCGAACUCACUAACUCGAGAAUGGUAGAGGUAACUGGAAUUUCUAGUGUAGGAGUGAAAUCCGUAGAUAUUAGAAGGAACACCAAUGGCGUAGGCAGGUUACUGGACCAUUUCUGACGCUAAGGCACGAAAGCGUGGGGAGCGAACC
rnacentral:rRNA from 1 species